UUUGUUUUGGUUGUAGAUUCUUUCCACUAACAAUAUGGUUAAUUGGUUAUGGUUCAAAAUGUAUUUUUUUUUAAUUGAAAUUACUGUGACCAAUAUUUUUGAAUGAUAAACAAAAAACGGUUUUGUCGGUGCUAGUUUAUUUUGUCCGUAGUCAUUACCCAAAGGUAGGUAUGUGACAACAUAUCCCAUAAAAAAAAGGGUGUGUUGGCAAAAUAGUCACUUUUUCAAACUUAAUUGGAAAAGUAAUCAUUUUACUAUUCAUAAUUUGCAAAAUAGUCACUUUUCACUGUUUGAUUCGUACACUUAGAUUGUACACCACUUUUAGUGUACAAAUGUAAAGUGUACUCUGUGUAUUUUUAUAUACAUUUGUACACUAAAAGUAGUGUACGGUAUAAGUGUACGAAUCAAACAGCGAAAAGCGACUAUUUUGCAAAUUAUGAAUAGUAAAGUGACUACUUUUCCAAUUAAGUUUAAAAAAGUGACUAGUUUGCAACUUAACUCUACAAAAAACCCUCUUAUGUUCUGAAUUUUUAAAUUGAUGAAGAUAUAGGAAAUCUUCAA
rnacentral:sRNA from 1 species